rnacentral:lncRNA from 1 species
AUGGGGCCCUGCUCAGAAGACCCCCGCCUCUGCGGGGCCUCCAGGCUCCUAGGAUUCACCAGCUUCCUCCUCAGUGUCUGCUGCACUGGGGUCGAGAAUUCUGCAGCACCUGGUCCUGGAGUUCAGGAUUCUGGACUUGUUACCCUGCCGAGGAUCCGAGGAGGUUCUGUGUUGUUUCAUGUGACCAAGAAUCAAAAAGCUGACCCAGAGGAGGUCUCAUGGGGCUUUGGCCCUGAGUUAAACUACAGCGUCAUGCUGCGAGUCCGCCGUGGGGCAGACACCCCAACCUGGGUCAGCCUCCAGGACAAGUACCAGCACAGGGUCCAUGUGCCUAACAUCCUGUUCCUGAGGAUUGAUAACCUGACCCUAGAGGACAGUGGGCAGUACCGGGCUCGAGCCAGCUUCACUAGAGGAAUAGAAUUAAACCAGGUUUUCCUCCUCACUGUCUAUGAAACUGUACCCGUUCCUAAGAUCCUUGUCAAGUCAGCAUCCUUCACACCAGGCUGGUGCAAUGCCACUCUGGAGUGCACAGCCCCAGGGGAUACAAAGGACCUGAAGGUGACCUGGGAGAUCAAGGACCUUCCCAGGGAGCUGGAGCAGAGAGUGACAUCAGAACUACCCUCCAAGUCCUGGAACCUGACUCUGUGCCUGCCUGUGAGCCAGCCCAGUGGCAGCUUGACCUGUAUGGUCAGCAACCAGGUGGACCAGAAAACUGCCACCUUAGGCCUUGGAGAAGUCUGUGUCUCUGAUUCACCUGGAAACAAUGAUGAUAAGACCCUGUCAGGCAUCAUAGGGACUGUCGUGAUUAUCCUGUUGAUCUGCGUAAUUGGACUGUUCCUUUGGAAGACCUGUGUGAAGAAGAGGAAGAUGACGACUGGAAGAGGUGUAGAAGUUCAGGAGGAUCAGAGGGACAAUGAUGGUGGCCUCCACUAUGCGGAGCUGAGCCAGCAGGAGUCUGCCGCACACAAGAUAGGCCACACUGGAAGCCGAGGUACCACUGGACUACUUGGGGAGCACUGACUUGGGGCAGGUGAGCAGAUGCUGCUGGUGUGGAUUCCAAAGGCCUUCUCAUCUGAGCUCUUCAUCUUCAUG